CCAUCUGAUGCAUCCUCCAGGCCCCUUCUUCCGUCCCCAUUCCAAGAACACACAGCCAUGAGCGAAUUCCACACAUCGCUGUUGAGCUCCUGUUCUUGGCACAAGAGCGAUCGCGCCUCGUCGAUCAUGGCCCCAGAUGCCGUUUCCUGGACGAUGCUCGUCACGGCGCUGGAAGGAUCGCAAGGGGGAAGCGUUCCAGGUCUGAUCUGGAAGGUGUGAAG
rnacentral:lncRNA from 1 species